GACCGGAUAGCUCAGUGGUUAGAGCAUCCACCUAGUGUUGGGACGGUCCUCGGUUCAAUCCCGGGUCUGGUCG
rfam:Coprinopsis cinerea okayama7#130 chromosome 9 cont3.9, whole genome shotgun sequence.